rnacentral:lncRNA from 1 species
CUGCCUUUAAGGCAAUUUUUCAAUCCGUCUCGCAUUUUCUAAGAUCACUUGAAACAUCAUUUGCAUGCUGAGAUAUUUCACAAAAAUGAUAGUUCUCUUGCAAUUAUGUACACUACAUAUAAUACAUGUAUAACGAGGAUUGCAGUUCAAAUGUUCCUGUUUUGUUUGUUGCAGGUUGUUGGCGGCAUUGUUGAUCUCAGCGAAUACCAGAACAUUACCAGUUGGUUCAACAAAUGUAAGGCUGCAUUGCCCGAUUGUGAGGAGGCAAACAACAAAGUUCACGGCCACCCGGACCGCAUCUCUCUCCGAACUGAAAUACGUGCAGUGGAAAAAUGCGCGUGAUCAGCAUCAUCCAUGUCUGUACCACACAUAAAACAUAAUGGAUGCUUUCAAAGCAUUGGCCGACCGCUUAUCCAAUAUUUCUGCGAAAUUUCAGAAUUUUGAUCUUUCGAUUUGUUGAGUAUUUAUUUCUCAUGAAAAUGUAUUACAUGGUGUUUCUGCAAGUUCAAAUGUUUAAUUAUUUUUUCUGAAUAGUGAAACAACUAUUUAUUUAUUUAUUUAUAUUUCCAAAACUCAAGUUAACGAGGAACCAAAAUCUUUCUACGUGUGUUCUCUUCAUUUACUACAUUCAUAGUUUCUAAUAAAUAUUAUAUCUCACUCAGUAUUUUUGCUUGUAUACCGAUUGGGUAUAUAUUUUGCGACAAUAUGAAUUGUUAAAAUCGUAUACAACUUUCUUACCAUCUGGUUCUUUUAAUUUUUUCAUAAAAUAUUUUAGCACAGUACAAAAUAUUCUUCAUGACCCUCGUCCAACCAACCGACCUACCCUACAAUUUUUUUUUCCCCCAUAAAAAAGCAUCAGAUAUAGAACUACCUCAGAUGAAAGUGGUUAUAGUCCAGGCAAAUAAGUAAAAGUGCCUGCAAAAUUCCCGGGUAGCAAUGUUUUCGAUGAUUCCUACGUAAUUUUUGACGCUGGAUCAGAAUUUCAACUUAGCACCAAGAAAUUCGGACCGUAAAGUUGCCGAAUUUGGCAAAAAUGGCCUAAAAUCGGCCAUUUUUCCGGAUCAUGACCCGUAAUUUGCCAAAAAUUUAUCUGACGAUGAAAUUAGUUAUUUUCAAAAAUAAAGCUCGUUAAAUUUCCUAUAAAAAAGUCCCUUUACACUUUUUUGCUCAGGACAAAAUCAAGCGCGGAGGCAGGCAUCGAGCUUUGAAAAAUGAGCGAAAUAACUAAAUACCUAACAAAACACCUGAAAGGGUCAAUGAUCAUUCUAUGAUUUUGGGUGAUAUAGUGUAACUUGUAACUUUGUACUUUUUUUAUGAACUUAAACAUUACUAUUGAUUUUUAAAGAGCUCUUUUAAAAUCAGUCCAGACGUUUUUAUUUAGGGAGUAUUGACGUUUUUUCUUGAAAGUGAGCAAUCUCUUACAUUUUAGUCUCCCAAAAUUUUGGGCAUGGCUCUUGACACCCCACCGCACUUGCCUCUGAUGUCUUCUCGUGAAAAAACUUAAGCUCUUCCCCCAUUAUUAUGACAAGUAGCAUUUUCACUUAUCCCCGUUUCUUUCUCUUAUCACCUCUGGAAAAUCAGAUUUUUUGAAUUUGAGAAAUGUAUACUUCUGUGCAUAAAAAAUGAAAACAUUUCUGAAACAUUCUUUCUAAAAUGUUGAAUUUAAAGUCAGAAAAACCACCCAGCUUGUAGAGAGUAUUCACCUACUAUCACUUGUGUUCUCUUAGUUCCUCAAGGCAAAGUACUUUAUCGAUUCACUUAGUUAGAAGAUCAGAUUUAUACGUGUAAAAGAGGGGUUGAAAAAAUCUGAGUAAAAAUUCUGUAACUCCUAGUUAUCCGCCUCCUAAUCAGAGCGUAGAGCUUGGGGAUAUUAAGUUUGACCUUUUUAAAAGAUUAGUUCAAAUGGUGA